rnacentral:rRNA from 1 species
AGUGAACGCUGGCGGUAUGCCUAACACAUGCCAGUCGAACGGCAGCACAGUAAGAGCUUGCUCGUACGGGUGGCGAGUGGCAGACGGGCGAGGAAUACAUCGGAAUCUACUUUUUCGUGGGGGAUAACGUAGGGAAACUUACGCUAAUACCGCAUACGACCUACGGGUGAAAGCAGGGGAUCUUCGUACCUUGCGCGAUUGAAUGAUCCGAUGUCGGAUUAGCGAGUUGGCGGGGUAAAGGCCGACUAAGGGGACGAUCCGUAGCUGAUCUGAGAGGAUGAUCAGCCACACUGGAACUGAGACACGGUCCAGACUCCUACGGGAGGCAGCAGUGGGGAAUAUUGGACAAUGGGAGCGAGCCUGAUCCAGCAAUACCGCGUGGGUGAAGAAGGCCUUCGGGUUGUAAAGCCCUUUUGUUGGGAAAGAAAAGCAGCAGGUUAAUAACCCGCUGUUCUGACGGUACCCAAAGAAUAAGCACCGGCUAACUUCGUG